rnacentral:rRNA from 1 species
CAGUCGCCACGGUAAUACAGAGGGUGCGAGCGUUAAUCGGAUUUACUGGGCGUAAAGCGUGCGUAGGCGGCUUCUUAAGUCGGAUGUGAAAUCCCUGAGCUUAACUUAGGAAUUGCAUUCGAUACUGGGAAGCUAGAGUAUGGGAGAGGAUGGUAGAAUUCCAGGUGUAGCGGUGAAAUGCGUAGAGAUCUGGAGGAAUACCGAUGGCGAAGGCAGCCAUCUGGCCUAAUACUGACGCUGAGGUACAAAAGCAUGGGGAGCAAACAGGAUUAGAUACCCCUGUAGUCCCUGUCUCUUAUAC